GGCGCAGUGGUCUAAUGGUAUGACUCCUACCAUGUAUUUUCCUGCUGUUAAAGGCAGAGGGUGGGGGAUCUGGGUUCAAUUCCUAGCUGAGCUA